GAUGAACGCUGGCGGCGUGCCUAAUACAUGCAAGUCGAGCGAACGGACGAGAAGCUUGCUUCUCUGAUGUUAGCGGCGGACGGGUGAGUAACACGUGGAUAACCUACCUAUAAGACUGGGAUAACUUCGGGAAACCGUAGCUAAUACCGGAUAAUAUUUUGAACCGCAUGGUUCAAAAGUGAAAGACGGUCUUUCUUUCACUUAUAGAUUGAUCCGCGCUGCAUUAGCUAGUUGGUAAGGUAACGGCUUACCAAGGCAACGAUGCAUAGCCGACCUGAGAGGGUGAUCGGCCACACUGGAACUGAGACACGGUCCAGACUCCGACGGGAGGCAGCAGUAGGGAAUCUUCCGCAAUGGGCGAAAGCCUGACGGAGCAACGCCGCGUGAGUGAUGAAGGUCUUCGGAUCGUAAAACUCUGUUAUUAGGGAAGAACAUAUGUGUAAGUAACUGUGCACAUCUUGACGGUACCUAAUCAGAAAGCCACGGCUAACUACGUG
rnacentral:rRNA from 1 species